UCUGGUUGAUCCUGCCAGUAGUUAUAUGCUUGUCUCAAAGAUUAAGCCAUGCAUGUCUAAGUACACACGCAUUAAAAGUGAAACCGCAAAAGGCUCAUUAUAUCAGUUAUGGUUCCUUAGAUCGUUAACAGUUACUUGGAUAACUGUGGUAAUUCUAGAGCUAAUACAUGCAAUUAAAACAUGAACCUUAUGGGACAUGUGCUUUUAUUAGGCUAAAACCAAGCGAUCGCAAGAUCGUUAUAUUGGUUGAACUCUAGAUAACAUGCAGAUCGUAUGGUCUUGUACCGACGACAGAUCUUUCAAAUGUCUGCCCUAUCAACUUUUGAUGGUAGUAUCUAGGACUACCAUGGUUGCAACGGGUAACGGGGAAUCAGGGUUCGAUUCCGGAGAGGGAGCCUGAGAAACGGCUACCACAUCUAAGGAAGGCAGCAGGCGCGUAAAUUACCCACUCCCAGCUCGGGGAGGUAGUGACGAAAAAUAACAAUACAGGACUCAUAUCCGAGGCCCUGUAAUUGGAAUGAGUACACUUUAAAUCCUUUAACAAGGACCAAUUGGAGGGCAAGUCUGGUGCCAGCAGCCGCGGUAAUUCCAGCUCCAAUAGCGUAUAUUAAAGUUGUUGCGGUUAAAACGUUCGUAGUUGAACUUGUGCUUCAUACGGGUAGUACAACAUACAAUUGUAGUUAGUACUAUACCUUUAUGUAUGUAAGCGUAUUACCGGUGGAGUUCUUAUAUAUGUUUAAAUACUUGUAUUUUUUCAUAUGUUCCUCCUAUUUAAAAACCUGCAUUAGUGCUCUUAAACGAGUGUUAUUGUGGGCCGGUACAAUUACUUUGAACAAAUUAGAGUGCUUAAAGCAGGCUUCAAAUGCCUGAAUAUUCUGUGCAUGGGAUAAUGAAAUAAGACCUCUGUUCUGCUUUCAUUGGUUUUCAGAUCAAGAGGUAAUGAUUAAUAGAAGCAGUUUGGGGGCAUUAGUAUUACGACGC
rnacentral:rRNA from 1 species